rnacentral:rRNA from 1 species
ACGAAGGGUGCAAGCGUUAAUCGGAAUUACUGGGCGUAAAGGGUGCGUAGGCGGUUCGUUAAGUCUGUCGUGAAAUCCCCGGGCUCAACCUGGGAAUGGCGAUGGAUACUGGCGAGCUAGAGUGUGUCAGAGGAUGGUGGAAUUUCCGGUGUAGCGGUGAAAUGCGUAGAGAUCGGAAAGAACACCAGUGGCGAAGGCGACAACCUGGUACCAGACUGACACUGAGGGGCGAAAGCGUGGGGAGCAAACAGGA